rnacentral:rRNA from 1 species
UAGCCCGGGUAGAUAGUAGUGGAACGAAGUAUGCACAAGAAGGACCUCUAGUUAGGGCUAGGUUUAGGAGCCACCUAAGCCGAGCUUAGAACGUGGAGAGCGUGAGGGUGGAGGUAUAUAUGAGGGGUGCAGUCCAAACAGGUUAAAAAGCGGUUUUGCCUCAAGAGGGCACGGGACCCCGCAGCAGGGCUAGAACGGCCUCUGGCGGUGGCGGACUUCGAAGACGACCCUAAGUGGCUUGGCUCGCGACGUUGAAGCUGGUCCUCGUCUAGCGGCGGCGGCUCGAGAAAGACCCGCCACGGUAGCGAUCUUCUGGGUUGACUUCUUUGGUGCAGUGGGUGCAGUAUAAGCCCUGGAGGCUCGAGGAGGCGUAGAGGUUCAUGGAAGGGACUCAGGUCGUUCGGGGAAUCGGCAGCGACAGCGGCUUAGGGCUCGGCGGGGCGUGACAAGAAGAAGUUCAGGCCGCUGCGUGGGACGGUACAAAAGGCCUAAAAGUCUACUAGUCACUCUAUGUCAUCCCAGCGCUCAGAAGUGAGUUGUACAAGAGAUCACCCGUAACUACCGGAGUAGCAAAUAAUACGGUGGAAAGGCGACAAUAAUAACUUAUUCAAUCGGUACACGAUAAGUCAAACAUUAUGAAAUAUUUAAGACCUAGUAUGCAACAUCAUUUACUACG